rnacentral:rRNA from 1 species
GCCAGCAGCCAUAUCACUCUGCAACUCACAACUUGGCAACCCCCGAAGUUUAGCAGUUGUGAGCCUGGUCAGUACCUGGAUGGGAGACCUCCUGGGAAACACUAAAGUUGCUGCUGGAA